rnacentral:rRNA from 1 species
UACAGGGGGUGCAAACGUUGCUCGGAAUUAUUGGGCGUAAAGCGCGCGUAGGCGGCUACUUAAGUCGGAUGUGAAAGCCCCUGGCUCAACUGGGGAAGUGCACCCGAAACUGAGUAGCUAGAGUACGAAAGAGGGUCGCGGAAUUCCCGGUGUAGAGGUGAAAUUCGUAGAUAUCGGGAGGAACACCGGUGGCGAAGGCGGCGACCUGGGUCGAUACUGACGCUGAGGCGCGAAAGCGUGGGGAGCAAACAGG